rnacentral:rRNA from 1 species
UUNUGAACUGGGUGACUAGAGUGUGUCAGAGGGAGGUAGAAUUCCACGUGUAGCAGUGAAAUGCGUAGAGAUGUGGAGGAAUACCGAUGGCGAAGGCAGCCUCCUGGGAUAACACUGACGUUCAUGCUNGAAAGCGUGGGUAGCAAACGGGAUUAGAUACCCUGGUAGUCCACGCCCUAAACGAUGUCAAUUAGCUGUUGGGCAACUUGAUUGCUUAGUAGCGUAGCUAACGCGUGAAAUUGACCGCCUGGGGAGUACGGUCGCAAGAUUAAAACUCAAAGGAAUUGACGGGGACCCGCACAAGCGGUGGAUGAUGUGGAUUAAUUCGAUGCAACGCGAAGAACCUUACCUGGUCUUGACAUGUACGGAAUCCUCCAGAGACGGAGGAGUGCCUUCGGGAGCCGUAACACAGGUGCUGCAUGGCUGUCGUCAGCUCGUGUCGUGAGAUGUUGGGUUAAGUCCCGCAACGAGCGCAACCCUUGUCAUUAGUUGCCAUCAUUUAGUUGGGCACUCUAAUGAGACUGCCGGUGACAAGCCGGAGGAAGGUGGGGAUGACGUCAAGUCCUCAUGGCCCUUAUGACCAGGGCUUCACACGUCAUACAAUGGUCGGUACAGAGGGUAGCCAAGCCGCGAGGUGGAGCCAAUCUCACAAAACCGAUCGUAGUCCGGAUUGCACUCUGCAACUCGAGUGCAUGAAGUCGGAAUCGCUAGUAAUCGCAGGUCAGCAUACUGCGGUGAAUACGUUCCCGGGUCUUGUACACACCGCCCGUCACACCAUGGAAGUGGGGGAUACCAGAAGUAGGUAGGCUAACCGCAAGGAGGCCGC